GUCUUAACUCAGUGGUUGAGCGUGUAGCUUUUGACCGCGUCGUCGUGGGUUCGAGCUCUACAUGCAGCG